UACGGAGGGUGCAAGCGUUAUCCGGAUUCACUGGGUUUAAAGGGUGCGUAGGAGGUCAGGUAAGUCCGUGGUGAAAUCUCUGAGCUUAACUCAGAAACUGCCGUGGAUACUACCGGUCUUGAAUAUCGUGGAGGUGAGCGGAAUAUGUCAUGUAGCGGUGAAAUGCUUAGAUAUGACAUAGAACACCAAUUGCGAAGGCAGCUUACUACGGAUUGAUUGACACUGAGGCACGAAAGCGUGGGGAUCAAACAGG
rnacentral:rRNA from 1 species